AGACCGAUAGCGAACAAGAACAGUGAUUGANAGAUGAAAAGAACUUUGAAAAGAGAGUGAAAAAGUACGUGAAAUUGUUGAAAGGGAAGGGUUUGAGAUCAGACUCGAUAUUUUGUGAGCCUUGCCUUCCGUGGCGGGGUGACCCGCAGCUUAUCGGGCCAGCAUCGGUUUGGGCGGUAGGAUAAUGGCGUAGGAAUGUGACUUUACUUCGGUGAAGUGUUAUAGCCUGCGUUGAUGCUGCCUGCCUAGACCGAGGACUGCGAUUUUAUCAAGGAUGCUGGCAUAAUGAUCCCAAACCGCCCGUCUUGAAACACGGACCAAG
rnacentral:rRNA from 1 species